GAUUAACGCUGUCGGCGUGCCUAAUACAUUCAAGUCGAGCGAACAGACUAGGAGCUUGCUCCUCUGACGUUAGCGGCGGACGGGUGAGUAACACGUUGAUAACCUACCUAUAAGACUGGGAUAACUUCGGGAAACCGGAGCUAAUACCGGAUAACAUGUUUAACCGCAUGGUUCAACAGUGAAAGACGGUCUUGCUGUCACUUAUAGAUGGAUCCUCGCCGCAUUAGCUAGUUGGUAAGGUAACGGCUUACCAAGGCAACGAUGCGUAGCCGACCUGAGAGGGUGAUCGGAGACACUGGAAAUGAGACACGGUCCAGACGCCUACGGGAGGCAGCAGUAGGGAAUCUGACGCAAUGGGCGAAAGCCUGACGGAGCAACGCCGCGUGAGUGAAGAAGGUCUUCGGAUCGUAAAACUCUGUUAUUAGGGAAGAACAAAUGUGUAAGUAACUAUGCACGUCUUGACGGUACCUAAUCAGAAAGCCACGGCUAACUACGUG
rnacentral:rRNA from 1 species